GGUGGUUUUCAGGUGAUGCACACCAGAAAUCGGGCUCCCUCUUCUCUGGUUCUGGGUGCAUCACCCAAGACCCGCA
rfam:Myotis lucifugus cont2.10317, whole genome shotgun sequence.